GUGCCAGCCGCCUGCGGUAAUUCCAGCUCCAAUAGCGUAUAUUAAAGUUGUUGUGGUUAAAGAGCUCGUAGUUGAACCUUGGGCCUGGCUGGCCGGUCCGCCUCACCGCGUGCACUGGUCCGGCCGGGCCUUUCCCUCUGUGGAACCCCAUACCCUUCACUGGGCGUGGCGGGGAAACAGGACAUUUACUUUGAAAAAAUUAGAGUGCUCCAGGCAGGCCUAUGCUCGAAUACAUUAGCAUGGAAUAAUAAAAUAGGACGCGCGGUUCUAUUUUGUUGGUUUAUAGGACCGCCGUAAUGAUUAAUAGGGACAGUCGGGGGCAUCAGUAUUCAACUGUCAGAGGUGAAAUUCUUGGAUCAGUUGAAGACUAACUACUGCGAAAGCAUUUGCCAAGGAUGUUUUCAUUAAUCAGGAACGAAAGUUAGGGGAUCGAAGACGAUCAGAUACCGUCGUAGUCUUAACCAUAAACUAUGCCGACUAGGGAUCGGACGGUGUUAUUCAUGACCCGUUCGGCACCUUACGAGAAAUCAAAGUGCUUGGGCUCCAGGGGGAGUAUGGUCGCAAGGCUGAAACUUAAAGAAAUUGACGGAAGGGCACCACCAGGGGUGGAGCCUGCGGCUUAAUUUGACUCAACACGGGGAAACUCACCAGGUCCAGACACAAUAAGGAUUGACAGAUUGAGAGCUCUUUCUUGAUUUUGUGGUGGUGAUGCAUGGCCGUUCUUAGUUGGUGGGGUGACUUGUCUGCUUAAUUGCGAUACGAACGAGACCUUAACCUGCU
rnacentral:rRNA from 1 species